CAGAAAGAUGAUGUUUGUCGGCCAUCAUGGGGAGCUUCUUCACAGAGUUGGAAAAUGUUCUCAAUCAACAAAUUUGAUGAGCAUAAAAUUCAACGAUCUUGUGGUUGGACCUCAGCAAGUCCUUUUGCAGUUGUACAGCUUGGACAAAGUUCACACAGGUUCUCGAGGUAUUCAUCCAGGACAUGACUUUUGGCAUUAUAGUUGUGGGUGACCAAAUUGAGCACCAUCAAUCUGCAGCGUAUCAGCGGCUGUAACACGCAUCUCAUGAAAUUGAAGAAUUAGUGAAGGGCAUAGAAAUGGACAUCUUGAUUGUGACUGAGGAGGAGCAAUGGGAAAUGCUUCCAAAAGAAACCAUUGCCGUUGCCAUCAUUUUGGAAGGGCGUCUUGACCUCACCGAUAUCUGUGACGUCCUAAAAGCAUUUGUGCUUUGGAUAGGUCUUCUUUACAUCAUUAACACUGAUUACCCAAAACACAUGAAGCACACUUCCGAUGUUCUCCAAAAACUUUUCAUGAACAUUGGUGGGAGUAGCUGUUCUUAGUGUGUUUACGGGCUACACAACAUGCUAUUCCGCAAGAAAUUUAGAAUCCCUAAUCUGUUCUUUUGAUUAAAUGUGAAUUAGUGAAAGGAAUGUAAAUAUGUACUGCAAUUGUUACACAGAAAUGAAAUGUCAAUGUUUAUCUCUGUUUUUUAAAGUUAGGGUGUUUUAAUACUAAACACAGUAAUACUAAGUAGGAGGUUGUCUAUUUUGAAUUCAAAUAAAAUAGCCUUCUGCAUGUUUUUCAGUGUCCAUGAGGCUAUUUUCUGCAGUACUGUUAGAAAAUAGAAACUUGAGUUGUGUGGGCAAAUUGCAUAGUUGCACCAGUUUAAUGAACUUAACAUUACAGGUAAGAUGAACUAUUCUUGAAAAAAUAACCUGGCUGCCUUAAAAAUAUAAGUUGAUUCAACAAAAUGCUUAGCUGAGCCGAUUUUUAUUCAGUUUGCACAACUUAAAAUUAUAAAUUUAAACUUGAGUUGUGCGGGCAAAUUGCAUAGUUCAACCAGUUGAAUGAACUUAACAUUACAAGAUGAACUAUUCUUGAAAAAGUAACCUGGCUGCCUUAAAAAUAUAAGUUGAUUCAACAAGAUGCUUCGUUUAGCCAAUUUUUAUUCAGUCUGCACAACUUAUAAUUAUAAAUUUAUUCAACAAAAUGGUUAGUUUAAACAACUAAACGUUUGUUGGUCUCACUAAGUUUAUGUUGUUUCAACUUGGAUUUAGGUUAGCACAACUUUCUUGUCAUGUUGGUCUCACUAAUUUUAUGUUGUUACAACUUACAUUUAGGUUAGCACAACUUUCUCAUCUUGCUGGGCUAACUAAAAACCUAAAAGUUGACUCAGCUUCACCUUUGUUAUCCCAACUAUUAAUUCUAGGUUUAAGGAACUCCAACAUAUGUUUAAACAACAUAAGUUUUUUAGCUUAUUUAACACAACAUUUUAAGGCAGCCAGGUUACAAAUUAUUUUAAGUUGAAUCAACUUAUUUGUUUUUACAGUG